UACGUAGGGGGCGAGCGUUGUCCGGAUUCAUUGGGCGUAAAGCGCUUUAAGGCGGUUCGGUAAGUCGGGUGUGAAACCUCCAGGCUCAACCUGGAGACGCCACUCGAUACUGCUGUGACUAGAGUUCGGUAGGGGAUCACGGAAUUCCUGGUGUAGCGGUGAAAUGCGCAGAUAUCAGGAGGAACACCGGUGGCGAAGGCGGCAUCCUGGACCGGUAUUGACGCUGAGGCGCGAAAGCCAGGGGAGCAAACGGG
rnacentral:rRNA from 1 species